CAGCCGCCACGGGAAUACGUAGGGUGCGAGCGUUAAUCGGAAUUACUGGGCGUAAAGCGUGCGCAGGCGGUUUUGUAAGACAGGCGUGAAAUCCCCGGGCUCAACCUGGGAAUGGCGCUUGUGACUGCAAAGCUAGAGUGCGGCAGAGGGGGAUGGAAUUCCGCGUGUAGCAGUGAAAUGCGUAGAUAUGCGGAGGAACACCGAUGGCGAAGGCAAUCCCCUGGGCCUGCACUGACGCUCAUGCACGAAGGCGUGGGGAGCAAACAGGAUUAGAUACCCCGGUAGUCCCUGUCUCUUAUAC
rnacentral:rRNA from 1 species